rnacentral:lncRNA from 1 species
ACUUCCGGUAGGAGCCUCGCAGGAAUGGUCUCCGGGUAGAGGCAGGUAAGGAUGUCCCGGGCCGGUGGAGAAGGAAGAGCUGGGCGUGUGGCUUCGCUUGGAAUCCGAAUCAGAGCUUGGACCAGAGCCUUCCCUGAGAAUGCUGAAGCAACACCUUCUUUGGAUUGAGUUUCUUCCAGAGGGAACGAAGAAGAGGAUUAAAUAAUACAUUCAAUUCUAAAAUAAGACAUGGCCCAUGAGUUGGUGAUGUUCAGAGAUGUGGCUAUAGAUGUCUCUCAGGAGGAAUGGGAAUGCCUGAACCCAGCGCAGAGGAAUUUGUACAAGGAGGCUAGAGUGCAAUGGCGUGAUCUCGGCUCACCACAACCUCUGCCUCCCAGCUUCAAGCAAUUCUCCUGCCUCAGCCUCCCGAGUAGCUGUGAUUACAGGACUUUCUGUUUCUAAGCCAGCCGUAAUCUCCUCAUUGGAGCAAGGGAAGGAGCCCUGGAUGGUUGUGAGGGAAGAGACAGGAAGAUGGUGCCCAGGUACAUGGAAAACUUGGGGAUUUCACAAUAAUUUCUUGGAC